AAGAAUCUCAUUUGAGUAUACACCAGCUGAAAACACCAGGCUAAAUAUGGAUGGCAAGAGGGUCUCGUGCGUCAUCAGAAAGAAUCAUUCCAGCUCAGCAGUUGUUGGAAAUUCCCAGCUCUCCCUGGAUCCUAAGGGACCACCUGUCCUGACCAAAAGCACCGAGACGGGAACUCUUUCUCCAGAAGGAAUGAAGUCUUCAGAGGGGCUGCACUGUCACCAAUAUCCAGCUGUGGAUUCAUAAUAAAAUCAUUUUUUUCAGUUA